rnacentral:rRNA from 1 species
AUGGUCGGCGGCGACCGCAUCUCUGACCUCCCUGACGACCUGCUGCGGCGCAUCCUCUACUUCGCGCCUGUCAAGGAGGCCGCGUCCACUAGCGCGCUCGCGCGCCGGUGGCGCUCACUGUGGCUCUCGUCGGGCGCCGUCAACCUCGACACGCGCUCCUACCACACGUCCCCGACGAUAAUUUGUACGGCAAGCGAGCCGCCUUCGUGCGCGAUGCCCACGCGGCUCUCGCUGCCCGCGGCCGCCAUUACCCCCUCAGGAAGCUCACCUUCCACGUGGAAGGCCACCAUUGCAACAUCAUCCAGUUGUUCCUGUGCAUCAGCGAUGACGGCUUGA